AUUGAACGCUGGCGGAAUGCUUUACACACGCAAGUCGAACGGCAGCACGGACUUCGGUCUGGUGGCGAGUGGCGAACGGGUGAGUAAUGUAUCGGAACGUGCCCAGUCGUGGGGGAUAACGUAGUGAAAAUUACGCUAAUACCGCAUACGAUCUAUGGAUGAAAGCGGGGUAUCGCAAGACCUCGCGCGGUUGGAGCGGCCGAUAGCAGAUUAGGUAGUUGGGGGGGUCACGGCCCACCAAGCCAACGAUCUGUAGCUGGUCUGAGAGGACGACCAGCCACACUGGAACUGAGACACGGUCCAGACUCCUACGGGAGGCAGCAGUGGGGAAGUUUGGACAAUGGGCGAAAGCCUGAUCCAGCCAUUCCGCGUGCAGGAUGAAGGCCCUCGGGUUGUAAACUGCUUUUGUACAGAACGAAAAGGUUUCUACUAAUACUAGGAGCUCAUGACGGUACUGUAAGAAUAAGCACCGGCUAACUACGUGCCAGCCGCCGCGGUAA
rnacentral:rRNA from 1 species